GUUUUGGCUGUCUGUAUGUGCACCACAUGCAUGCAAUGCCCACGAAGGCCAGAAGAGGGCACCAGAUCUCCUGGAACCGGACUUACAGACAGUUACAAAGCGCCACACUGGUGCUGAGAAUGGAAGCUCGGUCUUCUGCAAGAGCAGCAAACACUCUUUAACAACUGAGUCAUCUUACAAAGCUCCUGUUUCUUGUGACAGGGGCUUACUAAAUCACCCAGGCUGUCCUCAAACUUGCAAUCCUCCUACCUCAGCCUCCUAAGUGUGGCAGUCACAGGAAUAUAUCACCGCACUCAGCAACAUGAUGUUUUAUGGAGUUCCUUCUUUAUUCUUUUUCAUGGAUGAAUAGUAUUCCUUUUCAUGGAUGGACUCCUUCAUUCUUUUUCGUGGAUGAGUAGUAUUCCAUGGUGUGGUUACCAGCGGUGCAUUUAAUUUGGUCAUCCGCAGAUGGACCUGUGCUUAGUUUUCUGUUGUGAUGAAGAUGCUGUGGACGUCUGUGUGGGGGAUGAUCUGGUCCCAGCCCUUUGUUUAUCCCAGAUGUACAUCAACAUGUGAGCAUUCAGAGUUAAGUUGCAGCGAACUCCUGGGGCCUGGUGAGGUCAGAGGCCAGCAGCAGCCGGAAGCCUCAAUGACCAUGAGGAAUGGAGCCUCUCCACCUGGUGCUGCCUACCCUUUGCUUGCCACAUGGGGCAGAGACAUGUUUCUGUGUGGCAUCUGUUUCUGAACUAUGAGUACCUGGGGCUGACGGGUUGACUCAGAGGGUAAAGGUACUUGCUGCUAAGCAAGGAGCUGAGUUUGAUCCUGGGACCCACACAGUGGAAGGGGAGAAUAGACCCCUGCAAGUUGUCCCCUGACCUCCAUGUGAACGGCGUGGUAUUGCAUGCCUGUGCACCCGUGCACACAAAUAAAACAAUCUGUAUGCC
rnacentral:sRNA from 1 species